GCCAAGCAAGGGAACAAAGAGAAAAAGAGAAGAACAAACCCUAGGAAGGAAAAAUUCAAGAGAAAUUGUUGGAUUUCAAGGAAUCAUGCAAGUAAAGGUAAGAUUUUUUAAUUUUAACUUGUGAUCUACCUUUCCCAUGCAUUCUUUUUCAUUCUCCAUGGCUGAAAUUCAAGUUUUCAAGAGGGAACCUUUGCUACCCAAAUCUAGAGAGAGAAGUUUUGGUGAUGAAUUUUGCUAGAUUUCAUAAUAUCCUAGUGUUUUUAGUCAUUUUGUGAUGUUUGGAAGGAAAAACAAGCAAGAAAAUCACAUGUUUUUCAACCACCCUCAUUUGGCCGAAUUUUCUAUAGGGCAUGUUGAUGAUGGAUUUGGUUGUAAUUCAUGUUAUUUAGCUAGGAAUUGAUGAAUUAUGAUGUUGGAUAUCGAAACCGAUUAUUGAAAAGUAUAGUUCCUUUAGAAAAUGGCUUGAUGGAAACUGAGAAAAUCAUAGUAAAUGUACUUGGAUUUGAUUCCUAAUGAUAUAUAUAUGGAUUUACGAGACUUUGUAGACAUUGAUUAGUAUGUUAGUUCGGAAUCGGAAUGAAUUUCGGAAAAUGGUUAAGUUAGUCAAAAAUCAAGUUCAUUGUAAUGCUUUGGUGUAUUAGAUUAUUAGAAGUGUAAUGAAUAUAUUUGGAGUUGAAUAAGAUGUUUUGGUUAAAUCAAUGGUAUAUAGUUCAAAUUAGGUCGAAUACAAAUUCAUUCCGAUCACAAUUGAACCUACGUAGAACACCGUCUUUAAAUGACUAUCCGAACAUUUCUCAUUCAACUUCAUGCGUUCAUAUAGAGUCUGAAAUAGUUUUAUAACAAUUUGACACCAAUGUAUUGAAUUACAUAUCGUGUAUUAUGGAUAGGUGUUGAACCCCCCCAUAAGGGCAAAGAUAUCGUGCCUGAGGAUCGAGAAUAGGAGUACUUCUACCACUCAAAAUUCCCAUUAUAGUGAGUAAUCAUAUGUUCAUCUUAAUUAUCUAAAGUGAUUUAUACUUGUUUUAAGAUUUUAAAGAAUAAGGCACUUAAUUUGCAAAUUAUUAUGUUUUACAUUUUAAAUGUUGGUUAAAUGAAUGAGAUUUAUAAAUUAUUCUGAAACUAAAUGUUGAUUUUCGAAAUAAAGUAAGUGGAGGCUAUACAUUCGUAUUUUAUAUAUGUAUACAUGAUUUGAAUUGAUGGCUUAUGAAAUUGUGGUAGCAUGAAUGGCUGAAAUUGUGGUUUUGUGAAUUAUAUAAAUUGUUUUGUCUUACAUUGACAGGUUGGAUAAUACUACAUUAGCCAUGUUAUGCUGCCGAAAUUUUAUUGAUUUGGUGGGUUAUGUAUUUAGCUUACUCAGUGGGCGGGCUUCAGUGGACCAGCCUAUUAGAGGGGCACUGUAAACCCCGUUAUAUUUACCUUAGUACGAGAGGCGCGGAGGGUAUCUCCUAAGGUAAAGUUUAGAGUUCACUUCACGCUGAACCACCACGUGAAAGUGAAACUCAGCCAACGCCAAGGAACGGCUAUGUUUUUAAACAUGAAAACAUGUUUUAUGUCUAUAUGUCUUUUUAACUGCCUUGGUGGACUCAAUUGGAUGCCCGGCGCAAGGCAUUAUCGAGUACUAAUUUUUGGCACGAGCCAAGUUUUAAAGAAGUCAUAAGCCUUGUUGGUUUUCUUGAUGAAAUGUGAUUGUUUUUACAUGGAUUGAAAUGGGUUUUGAUGCUAUGAAUUAUAUAUAUAUAUAUUGAUGGGAUGAUUUAACUGUUUCCAUUUACUUGACUUUAGAUGCUACAGACGAACUUUGCUUACUCACUGAGUUUAUAAAAACUCACCUCUUCUUUUUUAACCAUUUCAGGCUCAGGAUAGUUUGUAGAUAGCUGAUUUCGUCGAUGACCUACUUUUGAAUUUACAUCCUCGAAAAUCGAAGGUCUACCUUUUUGUACAUAUUUGUUUAUUUUGGGGCCCACAUGUUAUUAUAGAAUAUUUUGUAUACUUGGUUACGUGUGCCAUUGUAUGUAUGAAUUUAUUUUACUUUUAUGCUACAAAUAUUAUUU
rnacentral:lncRNA from 1 species